GGGCGUUAGAAAUUUGAGUGGAUCUGACUCUAGUACGAGAGGACCGAGUUGACCAACCGCUGGUGUAUCUGUUGUUCCGCCAAGC
rnacentral:rRNA from 1 species